rnacentral:rRNA from 1 species
AGAUUAAACUGAAGAGUUUGAUCCUGGCUCAGAUUGCACGCUGGCGGCAUGCCUUACACAUGCAAGUCGAACGGCAGCACGGAGCUUGCUCUGGUGGCGAGUGGCGAACGGGUGA